UAAUUUAUUUUUGUAGAUGACACUUAGGUGUUGCAAUGCUGAGCAUUGCAAUGCCCAAAUGCUUUUAAAAAUCUGGGUGUAUCACUAAUUAUGUGUGACUUGUUUUCUGGGUGCCUGACUUGGGACCAGAGAGUCUAAUUUGCUGGACUGCGAAGCACUAAGAGCUGCAACUAAAGUCAAUGGGAUCUUUGCUUUGAACAUAUAAAGUACUGUCUAAUGGGGGGAAAAAAAAUCACAUUUGGAUUCAGAUCAAUUGUGAAAAGUGUGGACCCAAAUGGACUAUUGGAGAGCAUUAUGAUGGAUGAAAGAUGGAAGCUGAC